CCAUAGCCAUUUUGGCUGAAG
rnacentral:sRNA from 1 species